GACCCUCCACAGCAACCAGCCCCUGGUUGCGAAGGAGCCGGGAUUCACUUCCGGGCUUUGCAAUGUCGAGGGGGGAGCAGCUACCAACAAGCAAAGCAGGGGCAUCCUCCCUCCGUACUCACCUUUGCCCUCCACACGCCACCGGCGAGGUCUCGUCCGUUUUGCUCACCAUCGCUCCUGCUCAGCGUUUUGCUCCCCUCUCCACUUUGCCGAACUGGAAAGCAGGUUCAGCGAUUCUGACAGAAGCUGAAAGCUCGACGCAGACGGAACGAAGGACGGACGGAGCCGGCUCUACUGCUGCUGCUAACACACGUGGUGUAAUUUUUUUCUCUCUCUCUUAGCUCAAUAACCUCCGACCCUUUCCAUUCGUCUUAGUGGGAGGCGACUGGCUGCAAUACGGCUGGCGAGACGCGCCCAAAACACAGGCGCACUCCUAAAUCUUGCCUCUUUUUCGAAAUUAUAACUCGUAGGCAAUCCUUCAAAUUCCCAGGCUCUCUCCCUCUCUCUGCCAUAUAAUUCAUUUCAUCCACUUAAACGACAUAGAAUUUUUUUUUUUACUAAUUGAGAAAUUACAACUCCUCUCGAAGCACAGUCUAGGUACUAUGAGAUAAUUUCUCUGGCCUUCUUGAACAACAUUGUGGGAACACUUUUCAAAAACAAAUGAGUCCUUAAAGUUUUCCAUCAGCGGUGUGCAUAAUCUACAACUGUCUAUUUCACAGUCUCGUGAUUAUGCAAUAAUCUUUUAAUCUCCAGCCAUUCUGACUGCAUCUAGUAUUCAAAAAACUUAUUCCCAAAAUGUUGAGAAGUCGAAGUUUAUGUUGAUUCCUCACUGCCCCCGGAUGUGACAGUCACUGUAACACCAAAGCAGAGGAAAACGAGUUUAAAAUUUAUUUCGAAGAGUUAGCGAAGGUAAUACACGCCGAACGGUCUCGUCUGCUACCUGAUCAACAAAAAGGCAGUGAAUGGAUUAAACGUUCAAUUGCAACUAAAAAUGUGUGCAAUUAACUGUCUGCUCGAUGCAAUAUAAAGUUUUGAAACCAAAA